rnacentral:rRNA from 1 species
ACGCUGAGGCUCGAAAGCAUGGGUAGCGAACAGGAUUAGAUACCCUGGUAGUCCAUGCCGUAAACGAUGAAUACUAGGUGUUGGAGGGUUUCCGCCCUUCAGUGCCGCAGCUAACGCAUUAAGCAUUCCGCCUGGGGAGUACGACCGCAAGGUUGAAACUCAAAGGAAUUGACGGGGGCCCGCACAAGCGGUGGAGCAUGUGGUUUAAUUCGAAGCAACGCGAAGAACCUUACCAGGUCUUGACAUCUUUUGAUCACCUGAGAGAUCAGGUUUCCCCUUCGGGGGCAAAAUGACAGGUGGUGCAUGGUUGUCGUCAGCUCGUGUCGUGAGAUGUUGGGUUAAGUCCCGCAACGAGCGCAACCCUUAUGACUAGUUGCCAGCAUUUAGUUGGGCACUCUAGUAAGACUGCCGGUGACAAACCGGAGGAAGGUGGGGAUGACGUCAAAUCAUCAUGCCCCUUAUGACCUGGGCUACACACGUGCUACAAUGGAUGGUACAACGAGUUGCGAGACCGCGAGGUCAAGCUAAUCUCUUAAAGCCAUU